AGCAGCGUAGAGCAGUUGGUAGCUCGGAAGUUUCAUAUGCUUCAGGUCGCAGGUUCGAGUCCUGUCGCUGCAA
rnacentral:tRNA from 1 species